rnacentral:rRNA from 1 species
AGAGUUUGAUCCUGGCUCAGGAUGAACGCUGGCGGCGUGCUUAACACAUGCAAGUUGAGCGAAGCGCUAAGACGGAUUUCUUCGGAUUGAAGUCUUUGUGACUGAGCGGCGGACGGGUGAGUAACGCGUGGGUAACCUGCCUCAUACAGGGGGAUAACAGUUAGAAAUGGCUGCUAAUACCGCAUAAGCGCACGGUACUGCAUGGUACAGUGUGAAAAACUCCGGUGGUAUGAGAUGGACCCGCGUUGGAUUAGCUAGUUGGCAGGGUAACGGCCUACCAAGGCGACGAUCCAUAGCCGGCCUGAGAGGGUGGACGGCCACAUUGGGACUGAGACACGGCCCAGACUCCUACGGGAGGCAGCAGUGGGGAAUAUUGCACAAUGGGGGAAACCCUGAUGCAGCGACGCCGCGUGAGCGAAGAAGUAUUUCGGUAUGUAAAGCUCUAUCAGCAGGGAAGAAAAUGACGGUACCUGACUAAGAAGCCCCGGCUAACUACGUGCCAGCAGCCGCGGUAAUACGUAGGGGGCAAGCGUUAUCCGGAUUUACUGGGUGUAAAGGGAGCGUAGACGGAAUGGCAAGUCUGAUGUGAAAGGCCGGGGCUCAACCCCGGGACUGCAUUGGAAACUGUCAAUCUAGAGUACCGGAGGGGUAAGUGGAAUUCCUAGUGUAGCGGUGAAAUGCGUAGAUAUUAGGAGGAACACCAGUGGCGAAGGCGGCUUACUGGACGGUAACUGACGUUGAGGCUCGAAAGCGUGGGGAGCAAACAGGAAGAGAUACCCUGGUAGUCCACGCCGUAAACG